GGGGGUGUAGCUCAGUGUUAGAGUACUUGUCUAGCAUGCUUGAGGCCCUGGGUUUGAUCCCCAGCACCACAA
rnacentral:tRNA from 1 species